CCGAUUUGGCCUUCAACCAUGUUGAGUACCACCAUAAUGUCCUGUAAUUUAUUCUAGGGCAAAACUCUUUCAGCAAGCAACGAGUAUAUUAAAAUUCUUUUUUUCUCCAGUGUUAGGCUGGAGCCCAGGACCUCUCACAGGCUUUGCAAGCGCUCAGCAUUAAGCUGCAUACACUCUCAACCUUGAAAGCUCUUCAUACCAUUCCCACAAAUUGUCUAAAGGUUUAAAGUCAUUUUCAGGGCUGAGGAUGGAACCCAGGGUCUCAUGAACACUAAGCAAGUCUCCACCAUGAGCCACAUCCCAGCCUUUUUCUCUUGAGACAAGAUGUCACUAUACUGCCCACACUGGCCUCGAACCCGUGAGCCCUGAUUCGGCCUAAGCACCCUGAGGUGCUGGGCUCACAGGCAUUCCACAGUCCUCAGCAAGGCAUUCUGGAUUGUCCUUCACGUCCCGCAGGUGAUGACAUGGCUGAUUUCUUGCCUUCUUACUCCAGAGACCAGGCAAUGUGCCAGCAAUGGGGUACAAGCCUGUGAUCCCAGGGCUCUGGAGGCCGAAGCAGGACUGUAAACUCAGAGCCAGACUGGAUGACGACAGUUGACCCAUUUUAAAAGCUGAGGAUGUAGCUCAGUGCUGGAGAGCAUUGUCUGACAUGCACAGGACCCUAGAUUCAGUCCCAGGGAUGGGAAAAAACAGAGGUUUCAGCCAUUCGCUCAGCACAUGGUUAUUAGGUACCAAGCAGGCUGGGGAACAGGGCUAGACUCCGAAUUGCUGGAAGAAUUGCUCACAUCUGCCUGCACAGACUUUGAGUCUGGCAGACUGAGACCUUCAACAGAAAUCAGUGUGGGAUCACAAAUUGCGAAGGGAAAAGGCACGGCGCUGUGAGAUAGAAUCUCAAGUUAGCGGUUUGAGAAAACCUGUCUGGGACAGUGUCACAAGCCUGAAACCUGAAGGGCAAACAGGAGAGAGUUAGAGGAGCACGGGCAGCAAUUUAGGGAAGCGAAAAUGAGAAACCACCCUGGCGUGAGAGUGAGCUGGGCCAUUUGGGGGCACAGGACCGGUAUGGUGUGAUUCUGGGGCCCUUGGGGCUUCUGGGGUGUGAUGAUGUCAAAGAGACCCAGUGAGACAGGGCGCUGUGUGAGCUGUGCAGAGCUCUGGGUUUUACUCCUAAGUGCGGUGGGUUGAUAACCACAGAGUAACUGGAUUGAAAUUUAAGUUUUAAAAAGCCGUCCUGCUCUGUGAAAAAUAAGUCUGAAGGGACAGAGUAAAGAUGGGGGGAUCUCCUUAGGGGUAUUGCCAUAACUCAGACAGAGGUACAGCGGCUCGGACUCCGCCAACACAGAGGGGUAGAAAGGCCGGAUGGAACCAAGGGAUGUUUUGAUGGGGCCAGCAGGGGACAGAACAAGAUGGAGCACUUCACUGAAAAUAUCUGCUUGAGCAACCAAGCAGAUGAGGUGGAAAGAGGGGAAAGACCAGGAAAAGGGCUGGGAGUUCAGGAUACAAAUUAACUGCCGAGCGUGGUGGUGCUCGCCUGUAAUCCCAGCACUCUGGAGGCUGAGGCAGGAGGAUCAUCAGGAGUUGGAGGCCAGCUUGGGCUACAUAGAGAGUUCAGACCCAACCUGAACUGCAGUAAGACCCUGUCCCAAAAAAGUAAAAUAAAAGCGAAGGACUGGGGGAGGGGCAGUCACUGGGGUGCUGGAACACUUGCCUUCCAUGCCUAAACCCCAGGAUUUGGUGCGCAGCACAGGAAGGAAAAGAAAAAAGAAAGGAGCGGAAAAGACUUCGUAGGAAAUGUGUAUGGGAGAAUUAAAGAGGGUGGAAAGACCGGGAAUAGAUACCUGGGCCUGGGCCAAGACCUGAGGACGCCUCCCAGAGAACAGAGGGGAAGGAGACUGACUGGGAAGGAGGCCAGGAGUGCCCCUGGGGUGGCAGGAGUACAGUUGGCUGGCCCAGGGUUUCUGCAGGGUGACACAAGGCCCGAGUCCCCGCUGGACUUUGCGCGGUCAGCGUGCACAUGGGCACAUGGACACGCUGGGAGGCCGGACCGGGCUCAAGCGCUGGUGAUGGCUGAUGGUGGGAAGCAGGGCAACCAAGGGCUGCUGUUGGGAGCCGCGGCCGAGCCCGGUCGCCUUACUUGGCGGACGUGAGGCCUGUAAGAAAGAGCAAAGCCUGAGCUAGAUUACCCCUCCCAUCGAGUGUGCUAAGAUGGCGCUUAUCUCCUGCUUCCUGCUUGGUAAACAACCCGCUCUGUAAGAUAGUCUGCCUAGCAACAACUGAUGUUAGCCAAUCAGCCCGCAUCGCGCGCUUUGAACUGAUUGGCCACUGUUACCCUAUAAAAGUGAGUGCCUCUCCCGCCACGAGAGAAGAAGCACGGAAGGAGCCGCGGAGAGCGGACCGGUAGAGGCUUCGGGACAGACUGUAGAGAAGAAGCACGGAAGGAGCCGCGGAGAGCGGACCGGUAGAGGCUUUGGGACAGACUGUAGAGAAGAAGCACGGAAGGAGCCGCGGGGAGCGGACCGGUUGAGGCUUCGGCCGGGUAGGAUCCCGGGGCAGACUGUAUAAGGAGAGAAUAAAGAAAAGCCUGACCACCGCCA